ACAUUCUAGGGUCUCAGCUGCAGACCUACUAAAUCAGAGUCCCUGGGGUAGAGCCCAGGAAUCUGCAUUUUAACC
rnacentral:miRNA from 1 species